rnacentral:rRNA from 1 species
UACGGAGGGUGCGAGCGUUGUCCGGAAUCACUGGGCGUAAAGGGCGCGUAGGUGGCCCGUUAAGUGGCUGGUGAAAUCCCGGGGCUCAACUCCGGGGCUGCCGGUCAGACUGGCGAGCUAGAGCACGGUAGGGGCAGAUGGAAUUCCCGGUGUAGCGGUGGAAUGCGUAGAUAUCGGGAAGAAUACCAGUGGCGAAGGCGUUCUGCUGGGCCGUUGCUGACACUGAGGCGCGACAGCGUGGGGAGCAAACAGG